GGGGUUGUGGCUCAGUGGUAGAGCUCUCGCCUAGUGUGUGUGAGUCCCUGGGUUCAAUCCUCAGCACCACA
rnacentral:tRNA from 1 species